rnacentral:lncRNA from 1 species
GGGUAAUUAUUGUUUAUUAUCUGUUGUUCAUUUGGAAUGGAGCUGUGAAUGCCAUCCUUAUUUGGGAUGAUAGGGUUUUAUGGAGAUCAAGGGGAAAACUGAUUUUGGAGUAUUUCCAGAAUCAUGGUUUGGUAUGGAAAGCGGUGUAUUCUGCUGCCGUGAAUACUAAUGGUAGUUUAUGUAUUAUCUAUUUGAAAUGUGGAGAACAACACAGUAAUUUAUGAAAAUUACAUUGGUGUCAUGCUAUUGCAGCUAAUAGACUCUGACUGUAUCUGUGUGAUCUAAAAUCAAGCCUGCAUAUCAUAACCUGGUUAUUUUGGCCACCUUAAUAGCUGACUCAGAUAAUCAUGUGGUUAAUCCAUAUGACUUAGCUGAAAUUGUCUGUUUACAUGACCGAAAAUAAAAAGCUAACUGGUCUUUUUUGUGACCUCUUGUCUAUAUGGUUAUUGAUUUUGGCAGUUAUGUAGUUAAUACCACAAUAGACCUACGAUCAUAGAGAAUUUUGGUGAAUAUCCACAUAGAAAUGGUAAAAUAGUAUCUACAAGAAUCAGCAUAGAUGGAAAAAGGAGCUUCCUGGGAAUCAGCAUUGAAUGCACUCAGCAUUCUCCCCUUAAGACAGUAGUGGCUUUGACAAGAGUCUUGGAAUUUCUACCACUUUCUUCCCUUGUGUGACAGUGAUGCCUAAAUUGUUUUACGGAGAAUGUGUGCAGCGGAACUAACUGGGAAGAAGCUCUAUAAAAAUCUUCACAUUUCCCUUUUCUCAUUAGUGAAACUAUAGCCAUUUAAACCCACAUUUCACAUGGAGGCUAUAUAAAAAGUGACUGAUGGGUCAGCCCUAUCACAUUUUUAAAAGGAUCCAUUAAAACAAGACAAGACUUUAUAGUUGAGUUAGAAAGACCUGUCAUUUCUCAGUAUCUUUCCUUCCAUUAAUGCAGCUUCGAAAUGCUUAACAUUCAUUUCAAGUAGUUUUGUUGCACAAGACAGAUUUGGAGGUUAGCAUAAUGAAAUGACUGUAAAAUGCUGCACAUUUAGUAUUUAUAUAAAUGUGUUAAAGGAACAUAUCAUACCUUUUGAAGGAAUGUAAGUGGAGGCAUGAAGUUAAUGAAAGGAAAUUAGCAACAAGAGAAAAA